CCUACGGGUGACAGCAGUGGGGAAUAUUGCGCAAUGGGCGAAAGCCUGACGCAGCGACGCCGCGUGAGGGAUGAAGGUCUUCGGAUCGUAAACCUCUGUCAGCAGGGAAGAACGGUCACUGUGCUAAUCAGCAGUGAAUUGACGGUACCUGCAAAGGAAGCACCGGCUAACUCCGUGCCAGCAGCCGCGGUAAUACGGCGGGUGCGAGCGUUAAUCGGAAUUACUGGGCGUAAAGCGCUCGUAGGCGGUAUGUCAAGUCAAGGGUGAAAUCCCCGGGCUCAACGGGGGAACUGCCUUUGAAACUGGCAAACUGGAGUGUGUGAGAGGAUAGUGGAAUUCCAGGGGUAGGAGUGAAAUGCGUAGAUAUCUGGAGGAACAUCAGUGGCGAAGGCGACUAUCUGGCACAUAACUGACGCUGAGGAGCGAAAGCGUGGGUAGCAAACAGGAUUAGAUACCCGGGUAGUC
rnacentral:rRNA from 1 species